UUAAGUUCAGCGGGUAGUCCUACCUGAUUUGAGGUCAGAUUUCAAAAUGUUUUUGACCGCCACCCUUCAGAGGCAGGUCGUGGAGGGGCACGGGAGGGGAGGCAUCUCGAGGGAGCGAGGAUGGUACAACGCCCUUUCGAGUUCGACCCACAGGCCCAACCGACGCAUUUUAGGGGAGCAGCCUCGCGGCAGCACACCCC
rnacentral:misc_RNA from 1 species